CGUAGGGACCGAGCGUUGUCCGGAUUCAUUGGGCGUAAAGAGCUCGUAGGCGGCCACUCAAGUCGAAUGUGAAACCUCGAGGCUCAACCUCGAGCCUGCAUUCGAUACUGGGCGGCUAGAGUCUGGUAGGGGGAUCUGGAAUUCCUGGUGUAGCGGUGGAAUGCGCAGAUAUCAGGAGGAACACCGGUGGCGAAGGCGGGAUCCUGGGCCAGUACUGACGCUGAGGAGCGAAAGCGUGGGGAGCAAACAGGAUUAGACACCCUGGUAGUCCACGCCGUAAACGACGGGCGCUAGGUGUGGGAGGUCAUCGACUCCUUCCGUGCCGCAGCUAACGCAUUAAGCGCCCCGCCUGGGGAGUACGGCCGCAAGGCUA
rnacentral:rRNA from 1 species